GACGAACGCUGGCGGCGUGCCUAAUACAUGCAAGUAGAACGCACAGUUUAUACCGUAGCUUGCUAUACCAUACACUGUGAGUUGCGAACGGGUGAGUAACGCGUAGGUAACCUGCCUGGUAGCGGGGGAUAACUAUUGGAAACGAUAGCUAAUACCGCAUAAUAUUGAUUAUUGCAUGAUAAUUGAUUGAAAGAUGCUAUUGCAUCACUACCAGAUGGACCUGCGUUGUAUUAGCUAGUAGGUGAGGUAACGGCUCACCUAGGCGACGAUACAUAGCCGACCUGAGAGGGUGAUCGGCCACACUGGGACUGAGACACGGCCCAGACUCCUACGGGAGGCAGCAGUAGGGAAUCUUCGGCAAUAGACGAAAGUCUGACCGAGCAACGCCGCGUGAGUGAAGAAGGUUUUCGGAUCGUAAAGCUCUGUUGUAAGAGAAGAACGGGUGUGAGAGUGGAAAGUUCACACUGUGACGGUAUCUUACCAGAAAGGGACGGCUAACUACGUG
rnacentral:rRNA from 1 species